CCACAAAUAAACCGACACACCCCUUCUCCAUAUCUUUCUUUAUCCUCAUCCAUUACCCUUACUCCUUCAUUUUCAAACACAAAAACAAAAUCAGCUACCUUACUCCUUUCUCCCUCACUCACGGCUGACCCACGAACACCACCAUCAACCGGCAGCCCAGCCACGAGCUCCACCACCAACAGCAACCACUUCUCCUCCUUCCUUUAUUGUUGGUAACCACUUUUCCUUCUUUUGUUGUUUUGUUUUCAAAUUUAAAUGUUAGGAUUUUGUAAAUUGAUUUGGGAAUUUUGUGACUCAAAUUGAAGUUCAUCAAGAUUGAAUGUUGAAGGGUCCUCCAAUGGUGAUUGAGGGUCUAUCUCUUACAGGGGGUAGAUCCACUUUCAGGUUGCCAUCUUUAGUGCAGAUGGAUGUGCUGCUCAUUUAUGUGUCAUGUGUUGCGAUAGCGAUGACAUCGUUUUCGAAAGGUUGACUUAUAAUGAUAUUUUGACAAAUCAUGUCUUUGUAUAAAAAAAAAUAGAUAUUUUAUAAUGUAUUAAUUUAGUUUAUAACUGGGUUGUAAGUAAUUGUAUUACAGUUAUAUAAAGUUUUUAAAUACUC